rnacentral:piRNA from 1 species
UCAGAAGAGAUUCAGGAUCGUUAGAGAGGU